GACAUUUCACUCUCCGUUUAAUUCUUCUUCACUCCUACUAAUUUGUUCUUCAUCAUUAUUUUGCUCAUUUGUACUGGUUAGAAACUUAAAACCUAGUAAGGUUUAAGCUUCUCGACGUUCUCCUCAGAAAAAUAACAAAUCGGACAGCGGAAAAAAGCUUGGUUAGACGACGUGGGAAUAACGAUCCGUGAAACGUCUGUGUUACGGUGACUCUUUGAAACGGACCGUUACCGUUACCAUUAUACCAAGAAUUAGUUGAACCGGCUGAAGACCUAACCAAAAUUUCUGCAACAUCUUUCUACGUACCGAAUCAAUGAAUAUGAACUUUAGCAUCGCAGUUUCUAAAAUGCUAAAAAAAAAAAAAAACUCUUCGAGCCCUUUGAGUCAAAUACAUUAUAUGAAUUUUGAAAUUUAUAAAUAACUACAAUGAUAUCCUGUGACAAAAAAUAAAAUAACUACAAUGAUAUAUUUGCGGUAUACUUUUAGUGGGUGUGGUUGGGUAUGUGUUUGUUCGCCAUUGACGAAGAAAGAGUGUUAAGAUUCGAAACGUUUUGAGAUACCAAGGAGAGCGUAAGAGAAAAUGAAAUUUGAAUUAAUGGCAUAUUGGGCUUUAAUAAACCCCGAGUCGUGAAAAAUGCAGGACCGUCAGUAUCCAACGGAUCUCAAAUCG
rnacentral:lncRNA from 1 species